rnacentral:lncRNA from 1 species
GGCAAAUUUGAAUAUUUCUGCUCGAGGCUUCAAAGUUGAUAGAGCACAUAACUAAAGUUACUGCAACCAAACUUCGCUUUUAUGAAACUUAUUCGAAAUAAAAUCGGUAUACCAUGCAGAGGGAAAGGUCAGUAUUAAAUUUAGCUAUUUUUAAAACGUUUUUGAGUUGUUCUUGUUAAGUUCUAGUUGCUUUUCGAACCUCGUGUGUAUAGUAUUAAUUGUAUUAAUAUGUAUUGAAUUCAAGCGCUUCGUUUCGGCGCUUAGUCGCUUUGUUUCUUUGGUGUUUCUCUCUCAUUUUCUAGCAGUUGUGUUCAGAAAUACCCGAGCUUUGAUAUAUUUAACUGAUAUUAAGUUUAUUUACGAUUUCAGGGCGAAAAUUUGAGGAGAAAGUGAACUAAUUUAAGUCGCCGACAUGGUCGAAAAGGCGAAGUCCUUGGUAAGCAUAAUGUCCACUAGUCUAAAGGCGUUUCCUUCUUGUUUUUUUUAAGCUUCCUUUAUACACAUAGAACGUCUUCUGGUAAAGCCUUGUAGCUUGAUGAACAUUCUCUGUCAAUGAUUUAGUUAAAAUUUUGCCGACUCAUUUUAGGCAUGUUCAAUUUGACAUGCAUUUCAAACAUUUUAGCUUCUACAAACUUGUCGUUUAUGUAAAAAUUGUACUCUGAGAGGGAAGGCUAAGCCUUUUGAGUAUUUUGAGGUUGUCUUAGUUGAAUUUAAUCCAAAUAUUUUGAAGAAGCUCAGAGAUGAAAUGUCCUCGUGGUGCAUGUCCUAAUUUUAUGCAUACAUACACGCAUUCUUUAAAAUUAAAAUAAAUUGAAUUGGACAAUCACACCCUGUGUAAACGACAUUAAAUAACUCUUCACUGUUAAAACUAAAAUUAAUUAUCCAAUUUUUUUAGAUUGCCUCAAGUUCGAUUAUUUUGACGCGAACAGUACAGAAAGACCUCUGCGCAGAUUUGAAGAGACGUUCGCCUAGCAGUCGAAGCAAAACGAGAAGGCAAAGGCUGAAUGAAGACUAUCAUCAGCUAACCCACAGCAUUCGAAUUCAUCGUCGCAUUUCGUUUGUACCAUGUUUGGAAGAGACAGUAAAACUUAAUACCAUAGUUUGGUGACGGAAUGCUCGAAAGUAGAUACACCGUAUCUCAGUCAGCCUAUUGUGAAUGGGUGCCAUCCAGGGACCCUAACCAAUGCUCCGCAACAUCGUUUCCAAGACUGGCAUGAGGGAUUGCCUACCUAUACCAGCCUAUGAAAUAGGCGUGAAAGAUGCUGUACAUUACAGAAGGUAUAUCUCGUGAUUCUCGUUGGUCGUGUUCGAAAGUACGAGGGGGCCACCCUGAGGACGCCCAAAUGCACAAAACAAAUUUCGA